AGGUUACAGCUGACUGCAGUUCGUGACAUGUUCGUUUAAAGUAGGAGAUAUUGGGCUUUCUCGUCUUGAAUAAACUAACAAUGCUGUGCUUUUGGUUGUACCUUCGAAGAGAAGAAGAGAGGGACGCAGGAAGAAGAAGAAUAAUACGGCUGAUGAACAUCUGCAGAGCAUACUGGCAGAUUACAAAAGCAACUGCUUUGUGUAAAAAUCACUUUACUCCAGACCAGUUUGAACCGACAGACUUGGUGGAGUGGUAAAACGUAAACCAAAUGCUGUGCCAACAAUUUUUGGUGAUCGUAAAGCUCCUGCCGAGAGGAAACCUGUUGGCCUACUGGAGAAACGUACUGAGGAUACAGAGGUUGGAGAGCCUUCGAAUGUGACCAAUGACGUCAGUCCUGCAGCGAACUUGGACACGACAGAAGAUGAAGUCACCACCCUGAAGAACCUAGCUUCAGGCUGGAACUGAAGCUUUCAAGAGAAAACUCACCCUCUCUCAGAAAAGGGAGAGAAGAGUGUCUUUAGAAAAAGACAGCCUCUUAGCGAGUCUGCACGGUUUAUUCGGUGCAGAUCAGUUUGUAGUAUGAGUGAAGGGGACACGUGAAGGUAGCAAAUGGUCAGUGGAAAGGGCUAAAAAUUCGACCACCUUGUAGUAGUAAGGGGUACAAAGUCCUGCUGGAAAAUAAAUUACCAUUUCCUUCAGAUAGAACCCCAAUAUGUUCGCUACAGAGCAUAAAAGUUAGACCUGGUGUGCCGAGGGAGCUCGUGAGUUUCGUGAGAGUCAAGCUUGCCCUCAUGUUACCAGUGGAGAUGCAUGCUGUUCUCCUGAUGGAUGAGGUUAGUAUCACUCACCAUUGGAAUGUGGUUGAGCAUUGGCUGCACCAUUGAUAAUGAUACGACACCUCCACCAGAACUCGCCCUUGCAAAAACUAUAGCUUCUAAUGCAUCAGUUGUUAUGCUGGGUGGUAUUACCUCAAGAUGGAAACAAACAAUAGGUUACCAUUACACAGGGCCAUCUUUUUCCAGUUCUCACCCCAGACAUUACUAUAAGCUUUAUUAGGGAAUCUUAGGCACUCGUACAAUGUUCGCUGCAUCGCGUCAGUGACGGGAGGGCAGAAUUGAGCUGUAUGGCGAGAAUUUGGAAUUGUUGUCGAAAGGUUUUCAAAAUUAGUUUCUGCCAGUGUCUUUGUGAUGAUAAUUGGAAACUAAUUUUCCUCACAGAUACACCACACAUUUUGAAAAACGAGGAUUCACUUAGUCAAUGGGCAAUCGGUCUUCCUCUGACGAAAUGUUGUCAAGGGACAUGAUCUGCCUUGUAAUGAGGUACAUAUAAAUCGUGUAUAACAGUGGCUUGAGGUAGACAGUGGUUUAAGUCUUAAACUGGCACCAAAACUGUGUGAGGGAUGUCUGAGGCCAAACCAUUACGAGAAAAUGAAAGUUGGCUCAUCUACUGCCAUAAUUAACAGCCAGACUGCAGCAGCCAGUGAGUGUGCUGUAAAGACAGAGAAACUGCAGAAAAAUACUUUAACCACAGCACGGUUGCUAAAGCACGUUCGUGAGUGGUCUUGCCUCAUGACAUCCAGAGCUCCAGUUAUGCCUCUGAGUCGUUCUGAUGAACAAACAUACAGUGAGGCUCUCUGUCAUCUUUAGGACACUCUGUGAUUAUUUGGAAACUUGAAAAUUGGGCUGAGCAGUGCCUGGAAACCAGUUCAGUGUGGUGUAGUUUUGACAGCUGGAGGUAUUUUGGGAUUGCAGAACACAUUCCUGAAUGAGAAGAAAUUAAAAUUUUUGCUAAUAAGUAGAUUUACACAAGAUACCUUGGAAAAUCUGUUAGCAAUGCUCCACUUCAAAAAUCC